rnacentral:rRNA from 1 species
CUUUACUGUAGCUUGGAAUUGGGUUCGGGCUCUUCUUGCGCAGCCUAGGUGGGAGGCGUUGAAAGUUUUCUUUCGGGGAAACUGGAGCCAACAGUGAGAGACCACUCUGGAGGAGCUAGAAUUCUAAUGGCGUUCCUUGAAGCAGGACGCUUGACAGUUUCAGGUGGGCAGUUUGACUGGGGCGGUCACCUCCUAAAAGGUAACGGAGGUGUGCAAAGGUUCCCUCAGGCUGGACGGAAAUCAGCCGAAGAGUGUAAAGGCAGAAGGGAGCUUGACUGCAAGACCUACAAGUCGAGCAGGGGCGAAAGCCGGCCUUAGUGAUCCGACGGUUCCAUGUGGAAGGGCCGUCGCUCAACGGAUAAAAGUUA